rnacentral:rRNA from 1 species
UACGUAGGGGGCUAGCGUUGUCCGGAUUUAUUGGGCGUAAAGAGCGUGUAGGCGGCCAGGUAGGUCCGGUGUGAAAACUCGAGGCUUAACCUCGAGAUGUCAUCGGAAACCAUCUGGCUAGAGUCCGGAAGAGGAAAGUGGAAUUCUUGGUGUAGCAGCGAAAUGCGUAGAUAUCAAGAGGAACACCAGUGGCGAAGGCGGCUCACUGGCCCGAUACUGACGCUGAGGCACGAAAGCGUGGGGAGCAAACAGG